GCCGGUGUAGUCCAAUUGGCAGGAGACGCGUCCUUUAGGUGGACGACAGUGUGGGUUCGAGUCCCUCCACCGGCA
rnacentral:tRNA from 1 species